GCUGCAGUCGAGGAUCAUUCGCAAUGAGCGAAAGCUUGACGAUGCGACGCUGCGUGAGUGAUGAAGGCCUUCGGGUUGUAAAGCUCUUUCGCGUUGGAACAAGAGAGAUUUAUGAAUAAUAGGUACGAGUAUUGAGGGUACAACGUAAAGAAGCACCGGCUAACUCC
rnacentral:rRNA from 1 species